rnacentral:rRNA from 1 species
UAUAUUUUCUAGUGGUUGACCUCGGAUUAGGUAGGAAUACCCGCUGAACUUAAGCAUAUCAAUAAGCGGAGGAAAAGAAACCAACAGGGAUUGCCCUAGUAACGGCGAGUGAAGCGGCAAUAGCUCAAAUUUGAAAUCUGGCCCUCGUGGUCCGAGUUGUAAUUUGUAGAGGAUGCUUUUGGUGCGGUGCCUUCCGAGUUCCCUGGAACGGGACGCCAGAGAGGGUGAGAGCCCCGUACGGUUGGACGCCUAACCUAUAUAUAGCUCCUUCGACGAGUCGAGUAGUUUGGGAAUGCUGCUCUAAAUGGGAGGUAAAUUUCUUCUAAAGCUAAAUACCGGCCAGAGACCGAUAGCGCACAAGUAGAGUGAUCGAAAGAUGAAAAGCACUUUGAAAAGAGGGUUAAAUAGCACGUGAAAUUGUUGAAAGGGAAGCGUUUGCGACCAGACCUUUUCCAGUGAGAUCAUCCGGUAUUCGUACCGGUGCACUUGUCCUGGAUUAGGCCAGCAUCGGUUUUCUUAGGGGGAUAAAGGCUUGGGGAACGUAGCUCUUCAGGGAGUGUUAUAGCCCCUUGCGUAAUACCCCUCGGGGGACCGAGGACCGCGU